rnacentral:rRNA from 1 species
CAGCCGCCACGGUAAUACAGAGGGUGCGAGCGUUAAUCGGAUUUACUGGGCGUAAAGCGUGCGUAGGCGGCUAAUUGAGUCGGAUGUGAAAUCCCCGAGCUUAACUUGGGAAUUGCAUUCGAUACUGGUUAGCUAGAGUGUGGGAGAGGAUGGUAGAAUUCCAGGUGUAGCGGUGAAAUGCGUAGAGAUCUGGAGGAAUACCGAUGGCGAAGGCAGCCAUCUGGCCUAACACUGACGCUGAGGUACGAAAGCAUGGGGAGCAAACAGGAUUAGAUACCCGUGUAGUCCCUGUCUCUUAUAC